rnacentral:tRNA from 1 species
CUGGAAUAGCUCAGUUGGUUAGAGCAUGUGGCUCUUAACCACAAGGCCAGAGGUUCGACCGCUCUCUCUAG